rnacentral:rRNA from 1 species
UACGAAGGGGGCUAGCGUUGCUCGGAAUCACUGGGCGUAAAGCGCACGUAGGCGGAUCUUUAAGUCAGGGGUGAAAUCCUGGAGCUCAACUCCAGAACUGCCUUUGAUACUGGUAGUCUCGAGUCCGGAAGAGGUGAGUGGAAUUCCGAGUGUAGAGGUGAAAUUCGUAGAUAUUCGGAGGAACACCAGUGGCGAAGGCGGCUCACUGGUCCGGUACUGACGCUGAGGUGCGAAAGCGUGGGGAGCAAACAGG